rnacentral:misc_RNA from 1 species
AAACACCAUUCCAGAAAGAGAUUCUAGUCUGAUAAUUGAAACAAUCCAAAACCAAAUCAAUAUGCCUAGUCACAUACAAAAUCUCACUCUGCUCAGUAUUUUACUGCUUCUCAUCACCACCGUCCACUCGCAAUCCGUUCCCUCAAAUUUGAGUUCCAAUGGCAACUGGACUUGCACGAAAUGCUGUGAGCAGGCUUAUGGGUUCAUGCCUUGCAGUACCAGCGCUGUUGGCAAUUUCGUUUUGAUAAUUGGGUAUGGAUACCUUUUCUUCUUAGCUUCCAAGUCUUUGACCAAAGGUUGCGAGAUUUUGAAUCGGAUUUUGGGGCCUGGAAUUGUUGGUGGCUUGUUGCUUCCCCAACUCGGAGAACUCUCUGAUGCAAUGCUUGUGCUAGGUAAUAUUUCUUUGCUCUCCACUUUUUACUGGAUAAGCUGAAUUAUUUGAUCAGAUUAGACAGGACCCUUAGAACGGGUCAACGUUCCGGUCCUUGAACCGACCGGGACCGAAGGCGCGGGCUUAUUACAGUUGCUCCUUUCUUGAAUCAGAACUUAAACUGGCCGGUUUAAACUGGUAAUUUCAAACUGGAAUCAGCUUAAUUUUAUUUUAUUUUUUAAUUUUUCCUAUAUUAUAUAGAUAUUUUGAGCAUCUUUAAUUCUUUGACCAUUUUGAGCAUCUUUAAUUCUUAAACUAUUCUCAAAUUUUUAUGUAUAACAUAUUUUAAAAUUUUAGGUUUGAUUUAAAAAUUUUAAAUUUCUAUUUUUUCUAAAAUUUUUCUAACUUAGAUAGAUAAUCCUGAGUAUCUUUAAUUCUUGAACAUUCUUAAAUAUGCAAUACAACAGUUUCUAUAAAAUUUUUAAGUUAAUUAGCUUUUGUAAAUUUGAAUUAGAACCAUAAUUGAAAUUGAACCGAAACCAUAUUAAAAUGGACUAAAGCAGCUCCAAUCGUAACUAUAGUCAUAAGAAACGAGAAUCAGAACCGCUUUAAAAUCAGACUGAAACCAAUCUAAAACUGUAAAUAAAUCAAAACUAAUUUGAGUCGAUUAUUCAAGAGCCGAUUCUAGUUCAACCUAGCCAAGGGCCCGAAGCCGGCCUUGGCCAGGUCUAGGACCUUACGCUUAUUUUUUUUAAUUAAAUAUUUUUUUAUAAGAAAAAAAAUUAAUUUAAGUUAAAUCCAAACCUCACAUUACUCUUUGAAUCUAAAUCAAUCUGAUUGAUUGAAUCAAGUAUAAAUCUACAGUCAAGUUUAAUUAUAAUAAGAACAUAAUAAUCCUCAUAAUUAUAUGAUAAAAUAUUCACUUAAUUUCACCGUUUAAUCAUAAUAUAAGAGAUUAUAUAUUUAAAUUAAUGAAUAUUAGCUUGAUGAUAAAUGUGAUUUUUUUUUCUAAAAGUUUUUA